AACCUGGCUCUUGCCUUGUGUAUUCUUUUGGAUUGGGAAAUGAAUGGUCCUUCGACAGAUAUAUGUCAAAGAGCUGCACAGUGUAUGGGUUUGAUCCAAGGCAACAAUAGACUACCUCAAAAUGGAUGUGGAGGAAUCUGAGUGGGAC